GGGAUGUGGCUCAGUGAGAGAGUGCUUGCCUAACAUGCAUGAAGCCCUGGGUUCCAUCCCCAGUACCACCA
rnacentral:tRNA from 1 species